rnacentral:rRNA from 1 species
GGUGGAAUUUUCCGCAAUGGGCGAAAGCCUGACGGAGCAAUACCGCGUGAGGGAAGAAGGCUCUUGGGUUGUAAACCUCUUUUCUCAGGGAAUAAAAAAAUGAAGGUACCUGAGGAAUAAGCAUCGGCUAACUCCGUGCCAGCAGCCGCGGUAAUACGGAGGAUGCAAGCGUUAUCCGGAAUGAUUGGGCGUAAAGCGUCCGCAGGUGGUACAACAAGUCUAGUGUCAAAGACCGGGGCUCAACCCCGGAAAGGCGGUGGAAACUGUUGAACUAGAGGGCCGUAGGGGUAGAGGGAAUUCCCAGUGUAGCGGUGAAAUGCGUAGAGAUUGGGAAGAACAUCGGUGGCGAAGGCGCUCUACUGGACGGCAACUGACACUCAGGGACGAAAGCUAGGGGAGCGAAUGGGAUUAGAUACCCCAGUAGUCCUAGCCGUAAACGAUGGAUACUAGGUGUGGCUUGUAAUAAAACGAGCCGUGCCGUAGCUAACGCGUUAAGUAUC